AUUGAACGCUGGCGGCAGGCCUAACACAUGCAAGUCGAACGGUAACAGGAAGAAGUUUGCUUCUUUGCUGACGAGUGGCGGACGGGUGAGAAAUGUCUGGGAAACUGCUUGAUGGAGGGGGAUAACUACUGGAAACGGUAGAUAAUACCGCAUAACGUCGCCAGACCAAAGAGGGUGAGAUUCGGGCCUCUUGCCAUCGGAUGUGCCCAGAUGGGUUUAGUUAGUAGGUGGGGUAACGGUUCCCCUAGGUGACGAUCCCUAGCCGGUCGGAGAGGAGGACCGGCGACACGGGAACUGAAACGGGGACCAGGCGCCUACGGGAGGGAGCAGUGGGGAACAGUACGCAAUGGGGGGAAGCCUUGUGCAGCCAUGGCGCGUGUAUGAAGAAGGCCUUCGGGUUGUAAAGUACUUUCAGCGGGGAGAAAGGGAGUAAGAUUGAUACCAUUGCUCAUUGACGGUACCGGCUGAAGAAGCACCGGCUAACUCCGUG
rnacentral:rRNA from 1 species